rnacentral:lncRNA from 1 species
CCCUUAUGCCCGUUUUCACCAACAACCUCUUACCGUUUCCCUAUCUAAAAGCUACUUUUAAUAAGGACCCCUCCCAAUUUGACACCUACCUAAAUUCAUUUUCACCACACUUGUACAUGGAUCCCUUAAGUAAGUGACAGAUUACUAGUUCUACAAACGAUAAUGCAAAGUCGAUAUUUUAUCGAUAAAAUGAUUUUUCUGUACUUCUUAAGAAAUAAACGUCUAUCGAGUAUAUAUUACUAAAGCCUGUGAGUUUUUUUUCUUGUGAUGUUAUUUUAAUUUAACUUAAACUACAUUACGCUAUGUUUUAUGCAAUAAAACAGUAAAGAGGUUUUCUAUAGGUGAAUUUUUACCUAUGUCAUUCGCGCGUUUGUCAAAUUGACUGAUGUGUAUGUGUACAUAGAGUGAGGUUAAUUUUGGGUUUAUUAUUGUUGAAUAGAUAAGUUUAUUUUGGCAGAGAAGAGAAAACGAGGAUAAACCUUUCUUGCAGAAGAAAAAGACAAGCUAGUGAAAUUGCUGACGUCUCAUAGAGACACAAUAUUAAACAAAAACGGAUGGGACCACGAACGAAGCCAAAAACAAAGCUUGGAUCCAGUUACAAAUAGUUUUAAUGCGAUAGGAACCGUUUACAGUUUCAGGUGGUGCGAGAAAUUGGAAAGACGUGUAAAAACAUGCUGCGACCAGCCCACCCCAAAUUGAAUUGGUGCAGGAGGAUGAUGAUAAUGUUUGGUACAUCAUAUGAGGACUAAUAUUAAAAUAUUUGUUUACUAUCUUUGUUUUAA